GGAUGAAUCUCUCUCUCCUCUUGGACUGUGGACUUUCAAGUCAAGAUUGUAAUAAGAAAAUGCUUUUAAAAUUUACUACAAAUAUCUGUUGAAAAGAAAAUUCGACUCUAUCAGGCUGUCUUUGGGAAUUAUGUCUCGACAAAAGCAGAAUUUGCUGUGGCUGAUGAUCAUCUGUUGUGCUUUACGCCAGAUAAGUACAUCAUUAGGAACUCCAGAGUGUUGCCAACUGCCCUCAGAACAAUGUUGUCUGAAAAUCCCUACUGUCACCUCUGAAGAGAUAUGUAGGAAUGCUGUAUAUGAUGAUACA